rnacentral:rRNA from 1 species
CAAUAGCGUAUAUUAAAGUUGUUGCAGUUAAAAAGCUCGUAGUUGGAUUUCUGGCAGGGGCGAACGGCCACACACAAUGUGUGUGAGCUUGUUUGUUCCGCCAUCCUUGGUGAGAUCCUAUUUGGCAUUAAGUUGUCGGGUAGGGGAUAACCAUCGUUUACUGUGAAAAAAUUAGAGUGUUUAAAGCAGGCUUAUGCCGUUGAAUAUAUUAGCAUGGAAUAAUAAGAUAGGACUUUCGGUCUAUUUUGUUGGUUUGCGAGUGAAAGUAAUGAUUAAUAGGGACAGUUGGGGGUAUUCGUAUUUCAUUGUCAGAGGUGAAAUUCUUGGAUUUCUGAAAGACAAACUGCUGCGAAAGCGUCUGCCAAGGAUGUUUUCAUUGA